UACGAAGGGUGCAAACGUUGCUCGGAAUCACUGGGCGUAAAGCGCACGUAGGCGGCUUCUUAAGUCAGGGGUGAAAUCCUGGAGCUCAACUCCAGAACUGCCUUUGAUACUGAGAAGCUUGAGUCCGGGAGAGGUGAGUGGAACUGCGAGUGUAGAGGUGAAAUUCGUAGAUAUUCGCAAGAACACCAGUGGCGAAGGCGGCUCACUGGCCCGGUACUGACGCUGAGGUGCGAAAGCGUGGGGAGCAAACAGG
rnacentral:rRNA from 1 species